rnacentral:tRNA from 1 species
UGGCUCAGUGGUUAAGCUUUUGGCUGGUAACCGAAAGGUCGGUGGUUCGAGCCCACC